GACGUAGGAUGCAAGCGUUGUCCGGAUUUAUUGGGCGUAAAGAGUUCGUAGGCGGUUUGUUAAGUCUGAUGGAAAAGACUGGGGCUCAACCUCGGGACUGCAUUGGAUACUGGCAGACUGGAGUACGGUAGAGGCAAGUGGAAUUCCCAGUGUAGCGGUGAAAUGCGUAGAUAUUGGGAAGAACACCGGUGGCGCAAGCGACUUGCUGGGCCGUAACUGACGCUGAGGAACGAAAGCUAGGGUAGCGAAUGGG
rnacentral:rRNA from 1 species